GAUGCUGCCCUUCUCACCUCCGAAGUUCUUUCUAGAGGGCUCGGGUAGGACCCAAAAGCAGUGCUGCCCCGGGGAGCAAAUCCCAGGCCAUGAAUAGAACCCUGCGGGCGCAAGGCUUCGCCGCCCUGAACACAGUCCUGUGGGAUGAGGAGGCCGGUGCCUGGUUCGACUACGACCUUGAGAACAAGAAGAAGAACGGGGAGUUUUACCCAUCCAACCUCACUCCACUCUGGGCCGGGUGUUUCCCUGACCCUGGCGUGGCGGACAAGGCUCUGAAAUACCUGGAGGACAGCCGGAUCUUUAUCUAUCAAUAUGUCCCAGAACUGGAUCCGAACCAACUUUGAUGUCUACUCGCAAAAGUCAGCCAUUAUGACAUCAGCAACGGUGAACAGCCCGGUGGGGGAGGGGAGUAUGAAGUUCAGGGCUUUGGCUGGACCAAUGGCGUGGUCCUGAUGCUGCUGGACCGCUUCGGUGACCGGCUGACCUCAGGGGCCCAGCUGGCUUUCCUGGAGCCCCACUGCCUGGCAGCUGUCCUUUUGCCCAGCUUCCUGCUCAGCCUCCUGCCACGGUGACAGCCCUCCUCACCUGACGCCAGCACCUGCCCCAUUAAACCUCUGCACCAGUUCCUGCCUUCUCCUGCCUCUUCAUGCCCUCCUGCCUCCUGGGAUGGUGGCGGCGCCCAGUGGCCACUCCCGGGCACUGCAGGGGCUGCUGGGCAGGCAGGGCAGCCUCUCCCAGGGGCUCUGGUUUAUUGUCCCUGGGGCUGGGGUGGUGGGGACAGUGCAGGGUCAUGACCUGUAGGUCAUGGGUUGGGGUCUACCUCCCUACUGGAACCUUGAAUAGGGUGGCAAUCCUGCUCUGGGGAAGACCUAGCCCUCCUGCUCCAGGUGCCCCAGUGCCAUGCCCCAUACCUCUGACCUUCCACACACUUCCGUAGUCCAAAGGCUUUAUUGUUCUACUGAAAUGCUUACAAAUAAUGAAAAAC